rnacentral:rRNA from 1 species
UACGAAGGGGGGCUAGCGUUGCUCGGAAUUACUGGGCGUAAAGGGCGCGUAGGCGGCACUGUUAGUCAGGCGUGAAAUUCCUGGGCUCAACCUGGGGGACUGCGCUUGAUACGGCAGAGCUUGAGGAUGGAAGAGGGUCGCGGAAUUCCCAGUGUAGAGGUGAAAUUCGUAGAUAUUGGGAAGAACACCGGUGGCGAAGGCGGCGACCUGGUCCAUUACUGACGCUGAGGCGCGACAGCGUGGGGGAGCAAACAGG